rnacentral:lncRNA from 1 species
UUCAAGUCAUUGUUGAUGUACUACUGUGGUCUGAUGGCAAAACGUGUUAUUUGUUGAGGAGGGUUUUUGGGUUCGAAUCCGGCUAACAACACUGAAUUUUUUUUUUUUUUUUUUAAUAAUCUUCUUCUUCUUCUCCUUCAACCGAACUGUAUAUGCUUCUUACCUUUUUCCAGUGAACUUCUUAAUCUCAGAUAUCUACCACGCUUCAUCUCAUUGUCUGGUUUGAUCUCUUCUUCCUUGUUCUCUAGAUCUAGAUGUGGCAAUAAGAUCUGAGAUCUGUGAAGAUGCAAGGAAAGCUUUA